UUCUAUCGAAGAAUUGCACAUCACAUUCACUGUCCCUCGUGCUCUCAGAGAUUUUCCUCUAGCUGAUGCUCAGAGUUCUUCGACCAAAAGUGAAGGAUCGAGGAUUUGCUUGAGAAUUUCAGACGCCCGGUGGGGAAUGGAGAACGCCGACGUUUUUUUGGGUCUGCACGACUUUCUCGAGCGCAUGCGUCAACCAUCAGCUUCAGAUUUCGUCAAAUCCAUUAAAAGCUUUAUUGUGUCAUUUUCGAACAAUGCUCCUGAUCCUGAGAGGGACAGUGCUUCAGUACAAGAAUUCUUUGCUAAAAUGGAGGGAGCUUUCAGAGCUCAUCCACUUUGGUCCGGUUGCUCAGAGGAAGAGCUCGAAAGUGCUGGUGAGGGACUGGAGAAGUAUGUCAUGACAAAGUUAUUUACUCGUGUAUAUGCUUCGCUUCGAGAUGAUGUAAAAAUUGACGAACAACUUUCUGAUAAAAUUGCAUUGAUUCAACAGUUUGCUAGGCCAGAAAAUUUGGAUAUCAAACCGAAUUUCCAAAAUGAAACGUCAUGGUUGCUUGCUCAGAAAGAACUCCUGAAGAUUAACAUGUACAAAGCUCCAAGGGACAAACUUGUGUGUCUCCUCAAUUGUUGUAAGGUCAUCAGUAACUUACUAAUUAAUGCUUCCGUUGCUUCAAAUGAGAAUCCUCCCGGGGCUGAUGAAUUCCUUCCUGUCCUUAUUUAUGUUAUCAUAAAGGCAAACCCUCCACAACUGCACUCAAAUUUAUUGUAUAUACAACGAUACAGGGGACAAAAUCGAUUAACUGGAGAAGCAGCAUAUUUUUUCACAAACGUACUUUCUGCUGAGUCCUUUAUCUCAAACAUUGAUGCAAAAGCCCUCUCAAUGGAUGAAAUUGAGUUUGAAAAUAAGAUGGAAUCUGCUCGAGCACUUCUAUCUGGUCUCUCUACUGAUGCUGAAGCUAUCUCUAAUAAAAGUAACUUGGAUGAAGGGGUUGUCCGCAAUUCAGGACUUGUAAAAUCCAGUUCUCAAGCUUCAAAUGUUGGUACUGAACCUGCAGUUAUACCCAAAUCCGCAGAAGCAAAGCCCAGAACUGAGGCAUCAUGUGCCAAAGAUCAGUCGACAGUAAUGGAAGAACCAUCGCUCUCAGAUUUGGAGAAUAAGGGUGCAGCCAUUCUUUUAAACGAUCACACAGGGAGGCAAGCCUUCAGAGAUUAUCCAUAUUUAUUUGCCCAAGUUGGGGAUCUUACAUUCAAUGACGUAGAUGAGCUGCUCAGUCAAUACAAACAACUAGUUUUCAAGUACAUUUCUCUUUCCAAAGGAUUGAGUCUGACGACUUCAUCCGUUUCUGUGUCACAUUCUGAAAUGCAAUCCCAUCAUCGUCCUGAAUCUUUCAAAGAACCUGAAGGUAUUAGAGAUGUGACGUCAAAUGAGGAGUCAGCUGGAGAGACACAUAAGAGAAUUGAUGGCCCAGAUGGAAUCUCACUGUUUGGAGAAGAAAGCGUUGGAUCAGGGUUACCACAAGACAAGGUAGUACUACUUCAGCAUGAAGGAAACGACAAGAUACCCCAAUCCUAGCACCUUCAAAAAGCUUUCGGGACCGGUCAAAUGUUUUCGGUCCAGUUAUCUUGCUUUGCUUUCUCAAUCUUUUGUUCAUCAGGAAUUGGCAACAAGCAAUUGUCACGUGUAGGAUCGGAUCGCAGGUUGAUAGCCAUCACAAGGAGGAUCAAUAAUGGAAAUUUAGCUUGAUUUUGGAUCUGGCAAUGGACAGGAAAUCAAAAAUUCCCCACGAAGACGAGCUAAUGACUGCCGGACUAUCAAAGUUUCAUCCUGGCUUGCUUCCACAAGUAGGAGGACGAGAGAAUUAAGAGAAAAAAAUUGGCGAUACAUAAGCAAUUAUGAAGUAAGUGAAGAAAAAGCAUGGAGGACCAAACAAAAACAAAAGCAGCCAACUCUGUCUUAAUGCUUUACAACUAUUACCACUGCCCUUAACACAUGCAUAUUAGGGAAACAUGUCCAUUAUUUUUCUGAAACUUUAUUGCAUUUCAAAAUCUUUGUUGGGACCAAAAGCACUAAUAAUGCAAAUGCAAAUGCAAAUGCAAAAAAAAAAAGGCUGCUUGCUUUGCUUUGCUUGAUUGGGAAAUCUUCAUUUACAUGUGCCUUGCUAUUUUCUGUUGCCUUUUUCAAAUAAUAAGCCUUUUUUAUUUGCUUCUCAUCCUCUUCUGCUUUGG